GCAAACUUGGUCAUUUAGAGGAAGUAAAAGUCGUAACAAGGUCUCCGUUGGUGAACCAGCGGAGGGAUCAUUACCGAGUUUACAACUCCCAAACCCAUGUGAACCUUACCUUUUAGUUGCUUCGGCAGGAUCGCCCCAGGCGCCUCGGUGCCCUGGAAUCUGCGCCUGCCGAGGGACCCAAACUCUUGUUUUUUAUGGUAUUCUCUGAUUUAAAUUUAUUAAAUAAAUAAAAACUUUCAACAACGGAUCUCUUGGUUCUGGCAUCGAUGAAGAACGCAGC
rnacentral:misc_RNA from 1 species